CACAAUAAAAUAUGAAGGCUUACGCGCUGUGCUCUCGGCAUUUGCCUGAUUAUUUAUUACCCUUGUCUUUUGCGCACUUGUUGUUUCCUGGGCGGGUUCGCCCGCCACCAGGACCACAUCAUAAACCUUUUUUAUGCAGUUGCGAUCAGCGUCAGUAUAACAAAUGUAAAUCAUUUA
rnacentral:misc_RNA from 1 species